rnacentral:rRNA from 1 species
UACGUAGGCAGCAAGCGUUGUUCGGAUUUACUGGGCGUAAAGGGUGUGUAGGCGGUUGGUUAAGUUUGGUGUGAAAUCUCCCGGCUCAACUGGGAGGGUGCGCCGAAUACUGAAUGACUAGAGUGCGGGAGAGGAAAGUGGAAUUCCUGGUGUAGCGGUGAAAUGCGUAGAUAUCAGGAGGAACACCGGUGGUGUAGACGGCUUUCUGGACCGUAACUGACGCUGAGACACGAAAGCGUGGGUAGCAAACAGG